CAUAGCUCAGUGGUAGAACAGCUGCUUUGCAUGUUGAAGGUCAUAGGUUCAAAUCCUGGCAUCUUGA